GCGCUGGUGGUGUAAGGCGUAGCAUCCCGGAAAGCAGAAGGUGCGGGUUCGAGUCCCGCCUGGCGCA
rnacentral:tRNA from 1 species